UUUGCUCCGCGCUGGUCUGGCGCACCGGACACUGUCCGGUGCACACCGGACAGUCCGGUGCCCUAGCCCGAAGCAGCCUUUGGCUGCACACAGCCACUCUCCACUUCUUUUCUUCUUCCUGUUUCUAACACUUAGACAAGAAUAUUAGUACACAAACCAAUGUACUAAGGCUUAGAAACAUACCUUAACUUGUGAUUUGCACUUUGUUCAUCCUUGGGCAUAUUUUCACAUUUAAGCACUUGUGUUUGCACUCAAUCACCAAAAUACUUAGAAAUGGCCCAAAGGCACAUUUCCCUUUCAAUUCUCAUAGAUUGUUUACUUGUUAUCACUAGAGAAUUUAUACCUCUUGUUAUAUUGAUUAAAUUUCCCUAGUGUUUUUUAUUUUAGUCAAAAUCGUCUAUUCACCCCCCUCUAACCGGUGUCCUAGAUCCUACAGUUUAUGCUUCAAGAGCAGUAAGACUGGUCAUUUUAUUGUUCAAUGUCUCGAUAAUGAGAAUGACCAGGUUCAAGAUAAGAAAGGGAAGAAGGAGAAGAAAUUUUUCUAUAGAAAGACGAAGGGCGAGACACACAUCAGCAAGGAAUGGGACCCGGACUGUUCUUCAUUCAACUCCGACGCUGAAGGACUUGCCGGCUCCGCCUUUGACAAAUCCUCCCUCUUGCCCAACAAGCAUCACACUUGCCUCAUGGCAAAAGAGAAUAAGAUACGUACACUCGAUACUCCUAAGUAUACCUCUUCUAGUGAUGCAUAAUGCAAUGAUGAUGAUUAACAAGACUAUAGCAAUCUUUUUAUGGGCUUAGAUAGAUCUAAGGUAGAUAAAAUUAAUGAAUUAAUUGAUGCUCUUAAUAAAAAAGAUAGUUUGCUAGAAAAAUAAGAGCAUAUGCUUUAUGAAGAACAUGAUAAAGUAGUUGAAGUAGAAAAAUCUCUUGCUUUAGAAAUAAAGAAGAAUAAAAUGCUUGCUUUUGAGUUGUCUCAUUGGCAUUCCUCUAUUACUAGCCUUAAGAGUUUAAAUGAAGAUUUGAAUGCUAGAAUAAAGAAAUUAAAUGUUGCUAGUUCAUCCGUUGAGUAUGUUUCAAUUUGUGCUAAUUGCAAAGAUCAUGAUUUUAAUGCUUGUAGUAAUCAUGAUUCUACCGUCGCAUAAUUAAAUGAUGAAAUUACUCAAUUAAGUGUUCAACUUAAAACUUGCAAAAAUGAAGUAGAAAACGUUAAGUUUGAUAGGGAUGUCUUUAUCAUUGGUAGACAUCCCUCCAUUAAGGAUGGACUUGGUUUCCAAAAGGGAACCAAGAAGACUAAGAGCCAAAAGGUCCUCAACUUCACAAAGAAGGGGAAGGCACAUAUGACUAAUAGCUUGCAUUCUAUUCAUGAGAAGAAAAACCAUGCUUACUUAUAUUCUCAUGCCAAGAAUGUUUCUUAUAAUGCUUAUUAUGUUACUUGCAAUUAUAGUUUUACUCCUCGCACUAUGCAUGCUUCAUCUAGUGAUUCUAAUAGUAGAACUAGGCAUCAUGCUUCUCAUGUUGUUUCUCAUAUGCCUAAGGAUAGGAAUGCAUCUCAUGGAUCUCCCAUUUUAUUCCGCACUUUUGAUGCAUCUUAUGUGAUUCAUUGUAAAAAUGAUAAAAUUGUUGCUACAAAUGUGGGACCAAAAUGCAAUAAAGGUAAGACUUGCAUUUGGGUUCCAAAAACUUAUGUAACUAACCUGACAGGACCCAACACAAGUUGGGGACCUAAAUACCAUGCCUAAAUACCUUGCAGGUUUAUGCAUCCGGGGCCUCUACCGAAUCAUUGGUAGUGGAUGCACAAACCACAUGAUGGGGGAGGUGAACAUGUUCACCUCCAACAUCAAGAACAAGGAUUCUCAUGACACGAUCAUCUUUAGAGAUGGGAAGCAAGGCAAGGUAAAAGGAAUAGGUAAAAUAGCGACUACUACCGAGCAUUCAAUUCUGUAACACCAUGAAUUUGGAGGUAUAAAAUUUCUUUUCCAAUGUCCAGCAAAUUUGGGUGUUACCCUCUUCUUUAUUUGAUUUACUUCUCUUUUUCUAAAUAUUGAGGAGUUAUUUUGUACUAUAUAAGUAUUAAACAUAGUAUGUUCAAACCCUAGAGGAAUUAUUGUGAUUGCAUCACAUGCUAGAGCACCUAAAAUUGUAUGAUGUUUUAAGUUGAUGUGCCUCUAUUUAAACUCACGUAGCAUGCUAAUUUUUGAAUUUAAAAGAUAGAGCUAAAUUCGAAAUGGAAAGAAAAAGAUAAAAAAGGGAGAAAUGGAAAAAGCCCAGCCUAGACUCCCCUAGCUGGCUGCGCCCCCUCCUGGGCCGCUCGGCCACCCCGACACAUGUGCCCUUCUCCCCCUCUUGGCCUGCCUCACCCCCGUGCCCCCCUCCCGCGUCUCGGCCCAGCUCCCUAACCCCGCUCGCGCUCUUCAGCGCGUAGGCCUUCCCGCGGCCCAGCGAGGUGCGCCCCAGCGCGGCCCAAGCGUUCGCCCGCUCCCAGGCCACGCUUCUCCCCCUCGGCUUGCGCUGGCCCAUCUCGGUCGCGCGGCUCCUGCGCGCCGGCAGCCCACUCCCGCGCGUGGAGUUAGCAGCCUGCUCGGCCAGCGCCCCCACUCGGCCCAGCGCGUCGCGCCCCUGUCGCUGGCCCACCCCAGCGCGUUGCGCGCUCGCGCUUGUGGGCAGCGCCUAGCGCACCCUGCUGGCCCACGCGCGCCUGCACGCUUCCCCUAGCUCCCAGCCGCGCUUCAGUCGCCGCUGCACGUCUUCUUCUCCAAACACCCGAUUCCCUGCGCCCACGCCGCCAAAAAAACUGCCAGGCCAGCCUCGACGGCGCCCAUCUCCCUCUACCUCCCCUGGCCUCGGUCCCCUCGCCUCCUUGUCUUCUCCAUUGCGUGCACGGCCGACCCCGGGCCCUGCUCGUGGCGCGCAGUCAUGCUGCAGCCAUGGCCGAGCCCGUCCCGACGAGGUUCUCUGCAAAUCACAGUCUGGCACGACGCGCAGCCCGCCUGAGCCUGUCGUUCCCCUUCUCCAGCUGAGCCCGGCGUCCCGGCGCAGCGCGCGACGCGCUGCCGGCGCAGCCCGCGGUGUGCAGCUCGGGCGGCCGCCUCGUGCGUCCCGUGGCCCGGCCAGCCGUGGCCACCGUGGCCGGAUCGCCGUCGUCGAGCAUCGCCAUCGUCGUUCAUCGCACCGAAGUCUUCGCCAGCAGUUCGUCGUGUUCUGCGUCCAUGCCCCACCAUGCACGACCGACGUCAUCAGGAGGAGAGACGUCGUGAACCUGCGCAGCACCUUCGCCGUGCGGCCGAGCCUCGCCAUCAUCGAGCUCGUCGACGCCUUCGCCCUCUCGCCAUCGAGGAGGGAGCCACGCCACGUUCACCUUAUGGUAGUUGUCACAGAGGUGAGAUGUCUACCCCUGCAUGCAUCCGCGUCGCGCGUCCGGUUCACACUUUAUUCACGUGAUGUUCACGCGCGUUAUCGCGCGUUGUUAGUGCGUGUGGUGCAUGUUGUUUCGUGCGUUGUGACGCGCGUUAUUAAAUUGUUCCGCGUGUGUCGCGUGCUAUGUUCUUCGUGUAUCACGUGUCCCAUCCGCACAACGUUCGUGCGUGUUGUGCACGUGUCGUCGUUUGUGCGAGUUACGAUUUACGCGCUUUAAUAAAAUCAUUUCGCAUCGUUCACGUUAGAUAAUUGAUUACUUGUUUAGUUGUGUAUUAUUAAAAUAACAAUUCAAUCGAAUCUAAUUAAUGAUUUUAAUUAUGCGUUUGUAGAUACCUAUUAGUGUGAUUAUGAUGACUUAAAUGUUAUAUUUAAUAUUUGGCUAAUAUAAGAACGACAUAAUUUAGCAGUACUGGUACGUCGCGUUGUUCACACGUGUGGCGCUCGUCGUCGUCGCGUUGUUCGUGCUCUUUCGCGCGCGUCGUAGUGUGUCGUUCGCAAGUGCCGCGCUUGCUGUUCGCACGCGUUGUCGCGCGCCGUUCAUGCGUUGUUCGCGUACGAUAUUAAAUCGUUCACUUAUGAUCACUUGGGUCAGUUAAUUAAUUAUUGGUUCAAUCGUUCACUAUUAAAAUAGUAAUUUAGUCAAAUCUAAGUAGUAGUUUCAAUUUAUACUUGAUAUGAUAACAUCAACUCAUGUAAUUAUAAUUAUAUCGAACUAAUAUUCUAAUUAAUACUUGCUUAGUGUAAACACGUUAACCUCUCAACCGUCGCGUUUCUUAUCCCCGCGUAAUUGUAGAAGCGCUCUCUAUUUUAUAUUGCUCGCACGUUGUCACGUGCGUGUUCACAUGUCAUUCGCGCACUGUUCGCGCGUCGUCGCCUUUUCUUCGCGCGUUCUACCGCGCGUCUGGUUCGCGUGUCGUGCGUGUUGUUCACACGCGUGUCCGGUCGUCGUUCGCACACUGUCACGCUGUUUCGUGCGUCGUCCCCGCGCUAUGUCGCGCGUGUCGUUCGCAAGCUGGCGUGCUGUUUCGCGCAUCGUAAACUUAUCUCGCUUAGAAUCUCUUGUGCUAAUUAUAUUAGUUAUUUAUUUGACAGCUGUUAGUGUAGCAGAUUGAAUCAAACUACAUAGCAGUUAUAAUUUAUAUUUUAUAAUGUCGAAUUAAAUGUCCUGACUAUUACCUGCGUAGCGUAAACGUUAUAACUUCUAGACCGUAGCUCCGACCGACGCGUUUCUUUCCCUAGUGUGGCCAUAGAAGCGAGCUCUAUUUCAUUCUGCACAUUUUUAUAAUGUUUUAUCUUGUAUGGUGUAAUGUUCUUAUGCAUAUAUAUGUUUAUUUGCUUGUACUGGUUCAUCUUCGCUUCGUAUUACGAUUAGAUCACGAUUUGUUUACGCGCUUCGAGGAAUCGACAGUCAAGCUUCGGCGACCAAGCGAUCCAGUUCUUCGAGUUCUACGAGAUCGAAGACCCUGAGCAUCUGUUUGGUGAAGGCAAGUGUCCUCUGACCCAUUAUGUCCCAUUUACUUUAUAAUUCACUGUCCCGCAUACUAUGAACAACCUAAGGAUUGACUAGCUUUCUAUUUACUUUGUCCUUGAUUACCUUUUGGGUUACUAUGGUUAGCUUCAUGCUAUUGCUUUACUUUAAUCAAUGAACAUGAUGUGAACACUUAUGAUACGACGUUGUCAUUAUGAUUAUGAUGUUGGACUGGUGAUAUUCUAGGGGGCUCGAGCGGUUUCUCGAGUGCCUCUCCAUAAGGACCUAUUCGUUAGAUGACCGCCCGGGAAAACAGUGCAACCAUGAGGAUGGAAUGGGACGCCCUUAGCUGAAUAAUUAGAGGAACCGGGUGUAGUUCGCUUCGCCGUCGUGCCGUUAAUGGGGCUCGGUGUAUGCGGCUCGCUCUGCUAAGGUUGGUUUGCCCCUUGGGGAGGAGUGCGGUGCAUUUAGGAAACCUAACGGGCGGCUAUAGCCUCGGGGAAUCUUUGUAAAGGCUAUGUAGUGAUACCCUGCUAGGCCACCUAGGUAGUGGUCAAUGGAGAGUAGCUCUCUCCAGGCAGAAAGAGAAUCACGACUUGUGGGUAAAGUACACAACCUCUGCAGAGUGUUAUGAAACUGAUAUAUCAGCCGUGCUCGCAGUUAUGAGCGGCCAAGGGAGCUCCAUUGAUUAGUGAUACUUGAUCAGAGAUGUUCGGAUUACAGGUGGUGAUGAGAAUGAUGGUUUUUUAUUAUGAUUAUGGUAAUGGUAAGUGGUAUUCUUUCCGUUUGGAAAGGGUACUUUGGGUUAAGAACUUGGGUUAAUGCUAAAACCUGGCUUUCUACUAGUAAUAAUAACCUGACCAACUAAAAGCAACUGCUUGACUUAACCCCACAUAAAGCUAGUCCACUACAGCCAAACAUGACAUUUGCUGAGUACGUUGAUGUGUACUCACCCUUGCUUUACAGAACACCAGGUUGCCUCUGGUGCAAUCUAUGCUCAGGUAAAGAAGGAGGUGUCGAGGCGGAUCUCCAGGAGUUCCAGGACUUCGACGAGUUCGAGGAUUAGGCUAGCGACCUCCCCCAGUCAGCUGCCUGUGGUGGGUUGGUUACGUUCGCUACGUUUCGAUUCUGUUACUUUGAUUUAUAUCAUGUAAAUGGCUCUAGUCUAGAAUAUUAUUACUUACUCUUUAUUGUAAUUCGAAGCAUUGUGCUAUGAUGAGUCAUUUAUGUAAUCGUUGUGUACGUGAAUUACUGAUCCUGGCACGUACAUGGUUCGCAUUCGGUUUACCUUCAAAACCGGGUGUGACAUAAGUGGUAUCAAAGUCGUGCUGACUGUAGGACCGUUAACCUAGAGUAGCAUUGGUCGUUUUUAAGGACUUAUUGACUAUUACUUCACCUCCUCCUUGAUGCUGCUUCAAAAUAUUAGUCAUAUUGACUAAUUCUAUGUUGUGCUCCUAUAUGCCCCCUUGCCAAAAUGUAUUUUAUUCUAGUAUGAUCUAUAAUUCUCUCAAUCUAUUAGAUCUGAUCUCACUCUUGUGCUUGCGACAUCUUUAUAGAUGCCCCCUGACCAUAACCUUUUUUGUCUGUUGGGAUUCUUCCUUCUUCCGUCAUUAAUUUGCUACCCCUUGACUAUCUUUAUUCCCUUAGUAUUGACAUGCUCGUACUCCUAGAUUCUUCAAUACUCUGGUUUCAAAUACUCGCCUCUAAAUUUUUACUGCCUACUUAAACAUUUCAGUUUAUAUGACCAUGACCUUCCUAUCUUCUGAGACCCUUUCCUGUUCCGUUGUUAGAUCAUUAUCUUUCAACAAUUUCUAUUCCAUUGGUUUUAGUAUACCUGUGUCCUUAGAGUCUUGCAUACUCUUGUUUUUUUAUGUGUGCUUAUAUUCAUACCCCAAUAUUUGUUUAAGACAUUUCAACUUACACGAUCUUGACCGCCCUUGUUUCUUAAUGAUCCAUGAGCAGUCAUUUUAUUUUGCUUAUCCUUGCUAAUCUCGUUGUCUCCUUGUAACUCUACUUGGUAAUUAAUUUUCUUUACUUCAACCAUUUUGUUGGAACCUUACCUAUCUUACCCUUGUUUGUUUUCUCCACUUUGUCAGUCUUGCCUUAACUCUGUCCAUGGUUAUGCUUUUCAUCAUUACCACCUUUACCCUUAUCACCUUUAUAUCUUACCUUGAUGUUUAUCUUAUACCAGCCUUUAAAAUAUCCUCUUUUCCAUCUCAAUCUGAGCAUUGUACCGUACCUAUUUCUCCAUUGGUCGUAUCCUCUUCUUUGUCACCUGCAAGUUUUUUUAAAUCUAUCCUUUGUUGUGUUUUGUUUGUCAUCUCCUUUACCCUUCUCAUCACUCUAUCCUACCUUGUGAUUACAUAAUGUCUAUUAUCUAAAAUCUCUAAUUUCCCAUCUCAGUUCGAGAAUGGUGUUUUACUUAUUCCGCCCUUGUUCGUAACCUCAUCUUUGCCAUGUGCAAGUCUUGUCGUGACCCCAUUCUUGGUUGUACUUGUACCGCUGGCUCUUCAAUGCCUUCAUCUUUCCUCUCAUACCCUUGUCUGUUAUCGCCUUUGAACCUUGCGAUAUUGAUGUCUUCUACCUAAAUGCUUACCUUGAAUGCAUCUUUUAAAGGCCUCCCCUUUCUUUCAACCCAGUUUGAGAGCUGCGAGUUACCUAUCUCUCUCUUGAUUUCUUUUCCCUCUCUAUCAUCUUACAAGUUUUGUCUUAAUUCCAUCCUUUGAUGUGUUUUUAUUUGCUAUCACCAUUACCUUGUUAUCCAUCGAUCUUGCCUUGAUACUUAUCUUUAUGCCUACUCUUUAAAAAUCUCCUCUCUUCCACCUCAAUUUGAGAGUGGCAAUUUACCUAUCUGGCCCUUAGACGUACCCUCUCCUUUUCCAUUUGCAGGUCUUGUCUUAACUCCAUCCUUUGUGGUAUUUAUAUUCUUGGUUCUUAUGCACAUUUACCUCCUCUCCUACAUCCUUGUCUGUUAUCACCUUUAAACCCUCAUGAUACCUAUGCCCUUGCCCACAUACUUACUUUGAACCUACCCUUUAAAGCCUCCUCUUUUUCAUCGUUGUUUGAGGAUAAUGCCUCACCUACUUCACCAUUGAUUUCUCCCCCUUCUUUGAUGCCUCGCAAGUUUUGUCUAAAAUACAUCCUUGGUUGUGUUUGUCUGGUAUCACCUUAACCCUUGUCAUCCCUUGAUCUUUACCAUGAUGCUUAUCUUCCACCUUCAUUUUAAAGCCUCCUCUCCCACUUCAUUUCAAGAGUGAUGUCUUACCUAUCCCGCUCUUGUUCGUUCCCUUUUUCCUCUGCCGCGUUGCAAGUCUUGUCCUAACUCUAUCUUUUGGUGUGUUUUUGCCUUUCACCUCCCUUACCUUUGUAAUCUCUAGAUCUUUCCAUGAUGUUAUCUUAUGCCUACCUUUUGAAAUAUCAUCUUUUCCAUCUCGAUUUGAGAAUGGUGUUUUACCUAUGCUGACCUUGGUUGCAUUCUCUCCCUUGUCGGUUACAAUCAUUGCUUUAGCCCCAUCCUUUAUUAUGCUCAUGCCCCUACCCUCCAUGUCUUAUUAUUCCCCUUGCCUUUUGUUGGCCUUAGAGUAGUUUCCCUUUUUAAGGAAAGACCACCAUUUAAUUAAAAGGAACAUAUAGCAACGAGAUGUUUGUUGUUGUGUGCUCAUGAUGUUUGUCCUUCUGCUGUGACUGAUUUGCUUCUUUGGAAUGUGUUGAUGUGUUGUGGCCCUUGGUUCGCAAUGGCAUCUGUUUACUAGGUGAGUGCCAUAGAGUUAAGUGGUUGGGUUCUCCCCCUGCUCUCUCUAAUCCAUCUAUACUUACCUUUUCUCGCUAUUCUUUCCUCUUGCACCUGUCCAUUUGGCAACCUCCAACUCCUCCAAAUCAGUCAAGAUCAGAGUCGACGACAUCUUCAUCAUGUGCGUAUCAAUGCUUCUGUUAAGGGGGUUAGUCGCUAACCCCACUGAAGACAAUGCGAUCAACAUCAACCAACAAGAUCAAAGUGGCGCAGCGGAAGCGUGUGUGGGCCCAUAACCCACAGGUCCAAGAGAUCCUCAAGAAUUGCAUUAGUUGGUCUCGAGUAUUUGAAGGUCAAAGCAACCAGUUCACAAUUUAAGCUUGCAGAUUCAAAGUCAACUCAAGAAAGCCGUGAACAGCCUAUGAACCAAUCUCAAUUUCUUGCUAGCCUCUCCUUGAAUCUCGAGGGCGAGAUUCUGUUAAGGGGGUUAGAUUUGUAACACCCUGAAUUUGGAGGUAUAAAAUUUCUUUUCUAAUGUCCACCAAAUUCGGGUGUUACCCUCUUCUUUCUUUGAUUUACUUCUCUUUUUCUAAAUAUUGAGGAGUUAUUUUAUACUAUAUAAGUAUUAAACGUAGUAUGUUCAAACCCUAGAGGAAUUAUUGUGAUUGCAUCACAUGCUGGAGCACCUAAAAUUGUAUGAUGUUUUAAGUUGAUGUGCCUCUAUUUAAACUCACGUAGCAUGCUAAUUUUUGAAUUUAAAAGAUAGAGCUAAAUUCAAAAUGGAAAGAAAAAGAUA
rnacentral:lncRNA from 1 species